UGAUUUUAAAAUUUUUGAUUUAUUAUGAGGGACAAUGAAACUUUUAUACUUGCAGUAACUGUUAAAUUAUAACAAGCAAAGAAAAAAAAAUCUGUAGUGAUUGUACAGAGGUGUUUCAGCAGAACUAAGCAGGUCAAAAAGUGCAUUCAUUAUUAUUUUUUUGUUUCUCACAGAGACAGUAAAUCACCCAGAAGAUUCCUGGCAACUUCAUCAAUCUGCUACCUGUCAUUAGUGACACACAGAACAUGAAAAAAAUCUGCAUUAUGAUGAACAAAUGAUGUAUUCAGCAGGUACAAAUACAAAUGAAAGAAAGAGACAACAAUCACUUCCCUAAUGCAGUUUUUAUGCAUACAUCAAAUACAUAUGCAUCCCGAUGCGUGCAUAUUACUGGAAUACAAACAAAGUCAGAAUUCUCUGGUCUUUAGAAAUAUAAUAAACUGUAUGUGUAAAAGAACUGAUCUGAAACUGAUUUAGAAAUUCAAUAACGCCAUUUGACAGCAGACAGAUUCCCUGGGUUUCCCACAGAUGUUUAAGUAAACUUCUCUCUGUAUGUUGCGACUGUCAUCACACUGAGGAGGAAGGGCGGUGGGACAAAUAAAUGACAAGUGGAAGCAAUGAAACAUGGAUGGUCAAUGAAGAUGAUGAUAAAUACUGUAAAGUGGUCACAUCAAACCGUUUACGUCCACUGAUUUAUAAAGUUCUCAAAGCAUACAGUAUGUACAUACUUAACAUAUAAAUAGACAUGUGGAAUGUACUUUCAUUUACAUUAGCAAAGGCAGGUAAAGGUAGAGCAUGUCCUCCAGUCAUCAUUUACAGAGAAUUCACUUGUUUUUCACAUUGUUGUUAUCGUAAUCCUAACGGACAAGUACAGCCUAGACUAUACUAUAAUAUGGGCAUUAAAAGAACUGAAACAGUCUGUGUGUGGGGGGCCUUUUAUGUUUUUCCAGUAUGAAGCAAAUCAGAAAAGUGACACUUUUUAAACCAUAAAAUGAGCCUCUAACGCAGCAUCCUCUCCGCUUUGAAUGACCAAUGAAAAAAGGUCCAAUGGUCAAACCUCUCUGGCUUACAAGUGUUUUUUCUUCUUUUUUUGGGAGCCAUAGGACUGCUGUGAGGUUCAAUUCAUGGUAAUAAUAACAGUCAAGUCCUACAUCAUAAGAGAUUGAUCCUUUUACUUAAUGAACCAUCAAACCACAGCCAAGCAUGUUUAGUAUCCAGGGACACAAAAACCUCAGCAAAUUGUGGUUUUAUGAGAUUUGUCCACCAGAUAGCACUGACAGGAUGAUUUUUUUAGGGUGUUAAAUUCAGCAGGUACCGUGGUCCCAGUUUGUUAGUAACCACAUUUGAGAGGUCUUUGGCAAAGGUGUGAUUAAAUGCUCUUAAAUAAAUAAUGGUUGAUAAAAUAUACAACUUGUAAAAGCUUUGAAGCUCAGAUUAUUUUACGAUGAAACCUGGAUGAUAUGUAAAGAAAUGGGAUAAACAUGUAGCGGUGACAAAAA